UACGUAGGUGGCUAGCGUUGUCCGGAUUUACUGGGCGUAAAGAGCGCGCAGGCGGUCGUUCAAGUCGAGUGUGAAAGCCCCCGGCUCAACUGGGGAGGGUCACUCGAUACUGAUCGACUUGAAGGCGGGAGAGGGAAGCGGAAUUCCCGGUGUAGUGGUGAAAUGCGUAGAUAUCGGGAGGAACACCAGUGGCGAAGGCGGCUCUCUGGGGACGGUACUGACGCUGAGACGCGAAAGCGUGGGGAGCGAACAGG
rnacentral:rRNA from 1 species